CUUAAAUUGAAGAGUUUGAUCAUGGCUCAGAUUGAACGCUGGCGGCAGGCCUAACACAUGCAAGUCGAGCGGAAACGAGUUAU
rnacentral:rRNA from 1 species